AGGUCUUCGGGUUGUAAAGCACUUYCAGUGGGGAAGAAAAGUGCAAGGUUAAUACCCUUGCAUCUUGACGGUACCUACAGAAGAAGCACCGGCUAACUCCGUGCCAGCAGCCGCGGUAAUACGGAGGGUGCUAGCGUUGUUCGGAAUCACUGGGCGUAAAGCGCGUGUAGGCGGUUCGGUAAGUUGGAUGUGAAAGCUCCUGGCUCAACUAGGAGAGGCCGUUCAAAACUACCGGACUAGAGGACGAUAGAGGGAGGUGGAAUUCCCGGUGUAGUGGUGAAAUGCGUAGAUAUCGGGAGGAACACCAGUGGCGAAGGCGGCCUCCUGGAUCGUUCCUGACGCUCAGACGCGAAAGCUAGGGGAGCGAACGGGAUUAGAAACCCCGGUAGUCCUAGCCGUAAACGAUGUGAACUUGGUGUUGGUGGCGUAAAAACCAUCAGUGCCGAAGCUAACGCGAUAAGUUCACCGCCUGGGGACUACGACCGCAAGGUUAAAACUCAAAGGAAUUGACGGGGACCCGCACAAGCAGCGGAGCGUGUGGUUUAAUUCGAGGCUACGCGAAGAACCUUACCUGGGCUUGACAUGCAGGUGGUAGGGAUCCGAAAGGUGACCGACCCCUCGGGGAGCUUGCACAGGUGCUGCAUGGCUGUCGUCAGCUCGUGCCGUGAGGUGUCCGGUUAAGUCCGGUAACGAGCGCAACCCUUGCCGUAUAUUACAUGU
rnacentral:rRNA from 1 species